rnacentral:rRNA from 1 species
UACGUAGGGGGCAAGCGUUGUCCGGAAUCAUUGGGCGUAAAGCGCGUGUAGGCGGCCCGGUAAGUCGGCUGUGAAAGUCCAGGGCUCAACCCUGGGAUGCCGGUCGAUACUGCCGGACUAGAGUUCGGAAGAGGCGAGUGGAAUUCCCGGUGUAGCGGUGAAAUGCGCAGAUAUCGGGAGGAACACCAAUGGCGAAGGCAGCUCGCUGGGACGUUACUGACGCUGAGACGCGAAAGCGUGGGGAGCAAACAGG